AGCGCAUCGAUGGCCAGGACAGGCUCCAGCCCAGCGCCGCGCGCCAGCGCUCACAGGGCGCACAAGGCACUGGCUCCCGGACCUUUAGCAAAGGUAAAUCCGCCCGUGGCGCGCGGCAGUUCCUGCAGCGCCCGCCCAGCUGGAACUCGCAGGGCGUGAAGAGCCGCCCCUGCAAAGCACUGGCUUCGCAAAAGGCAAGCGGGGAGCCCUGCGUGGACUACUGGGAUUAGUGGACCCCCGGGGAAAUACCUGCCCAUCAAGGAAGAGUUUGGUUGAUUUCACCACCAAGAUCUGACCCUAGUCACAUGGCCAAGCCUCCUCCCUCUUCAGGGGACUGGUAUUGGUAAAUAACAGCUGGCCUUCUGCAUGAACAUCAGAUUCGAGCCAUGGUCCCCAUUCUGCUUCAUUCUCUCCAGCUCUUGUCCCCUUGCAAAGAAUGGGCUUGUUUACUUGUGCCUAGAACGAGGCCUUCCUCCUACGCAGCACUGUGUUUUAGUCAUCUUUGUACCCGCUGCCAUCUCGUCCGGUUUGCUACAGGCUUGGGAUAAAUGCCUUUUAAAUAUGUACAUGAAUGAAUGACAGAACCGAGAUGUAGUCCCCAGACUCCCUGACCUUUACCAGUGACUCUAAGCCUGUAUAGACCUUUUUUGUUAAGAAGGUUGGGGUGGGGGGAGAAAUGUUGCGUUUUCAUAAUCCCUGCAAUCCAUGCCCUGCUUGCCUCUCUGGGGUUAUUGUGAAGAUCAAAUAAG
rnacentral:lncRNA from 1 species